rnacentral:rRNA from 1 species
CACGGGGGUUGCGAGCGUUGUCCGGAAUUACUAGGCGUAAAGGGUGCGUAGGUGGUUUCUUAAGUCAGAGGUGAAAGGCUACGGCUCAACCGUAGUAAGCCUUUGAAACUGGGAAACUUGAGUGCAGGAGAGGAGAGUGGAAUUCCUAGUGUAGCGGUGAAAUGCGUAGAGAUUAGGAAGAACACCAGUGGCGAAGGCGAUUCUCUGGACUGUAACUGACGCUGAGGCUCGAAAGCGUGGGGAGCAAACAGGAUUAGAUACCCUGGUAGUCCCUGAG